UAAUCUCAAUCAGACUCCAUGCUGACCGCAGAGCCCAACAUGGGGCUUGAUUCUCAGAUCACAACCUGAGCUGAAACCAAGAGUCAGACGCUCAACCAACUGAGCCACCCAGGCUUACGAUAGAGAGCUCUUUUUAAUAUCUAAACCAGUAAUCUCCAAAGUUUUUUUUUAUUUAUAUGCCUUUUAGUAAAGCAUAUCUGAGUAUAUAUAUAUCACCAAUAUAUGUGUACUAACUAUGGUAGUAUAAGAUAUAUACACAAACAAGACAUUUAAAAAGAACAAGGUAAAAAGAAAGUAGGAAUGGGAAGUCUAAUAUCAUCUUUUUUGUUUGCCAGCUGGUUGCCUUGCGUGCAUGCUCUGGGGACUGCUGUUCUGCACCAUGCAGAAGAAUCAGCUAUGCAGGGAGUUGCCUCACAUCUAGCCAGGCAGCAAUUUAGGAUCACACCUAUUGGGAUCAUCUCUACAUGUAAAAUGAUUAUUCAGUAUGAGUUAUCCAGGCCUCAUUCUUUUGUUCUGCGUCUCUGCUAGAUAUCUUGGGUUAUUUCAUUGUUCGUGGGCACUUGGUCAGAGAAUAACAAAGACUAUAAAAACCAUUCAAACUAUCAUUUUUGUCUUGCUGUGCAUAAUUAUAAUUGAGACAAUGUUAAAACAAAUGGCUACACUGAAGUACUGAAUUAUUUCUAUUUGUAAAUUAUCCAGGGAUCUCCAAGUGCAUUUGAUAGUCAAGAUUUACUGUUGACCAAUCUGUCCAAUACUACAACCUGCUUGCUAUAGAGUGCUACCUCUUGGCAAAUAAGCUGUUGCUACCUAAGGUAUUCAUCUGAUUUAAAGAAUAACAGAGGAAAAGGAAAAUGUUUAAAAUCAUUCAUAUGACCUAAUAUUGCAGAGAUGCCAAGUAUUAUUCUAAAGAGCUGAAAAGCUGCCAACUUCAAGAAUAAAUCUUGUACAACCUUGUGAGACACUUGAAUGGAAGACCAAAGAGUGUUCUGCCUUAUAUAAAUGGAAAGAGUAGAACACAAAUUACUAAGGAAAAGAUGGUUAAGAUUGUGUCAGAAAAGGUUAAAAAGGAAGAGGCUUACUGUCAGUGUGGGAUAGUCACAAAAUUCAAGAAGUUGAACAUCAAUAAAAAAGAUUCUUCAUCUGUAAAAUGUUGAUAAUAAUACCUACUUUAAAAGUGACUGUCACAAAGUGCAUGUGAAGUGAUUAACACAGUGCCUGGCACACAGUAAAAGCUCAAAAAAUGUCAAUUGUUUUUAUAAUCCAUGUAAAGGGGUGAGAGUUCAGCUGGGCCUUACAGAUGAAUACAUAACAAAGAUUAGGAAAAGAAAGAGGAGAUACUGCAGUCAAGAUUAAUAUCUGGAACCGUUACCUGAAGGGGGGGGUAAUACACAAAGCAGUUUGGAGUGGAACUUAAGAUCAGUCUAAUGCUGUGCUGUUCAACAUGGCAACUACUAGCCAUAUGUGGUUAUUUAACACUUGAAAUGUGGCUAAUCUGAAUGGAGAUGUACUGUUAGUGUAAUACAUACAUCAGAUACUGAAGACUUGAACUUGCACAUCAAGUUGUGGUAUAAACUCUCCAGAUGCCUGCAUGAGUAUAGAUAAUUUGGAGACAAGGAAGAGAAAGAGAAAGAAAGAAAAAUCCUAACAUCCGUUUCAGCUUCUCCUGUCACUUCCUGCUAAGUGGAUCUGGAGUUAAGAAAAAAGUUACUGGAAAAAAAAGAAGAAAAAAGAAAAAAGUAACUGGUCAAAGGAAGGACUGUCGGUAUUUGCCAAAGACUACACUGAAGGAAAAUUUCCUUUUCCCUGCUUCGUGUAUGAGCUAGAAGAAAAAUUUCAGAGAGCUAGUGUGCAAGUGGCAGUAGGACCAGAGGGGAAGAGAGAGGGAGAGAAUCUCAAGCUGACUCCAUGAAGAGCGUGGAGCCUGAUGCAAGGCCAGAUCUCACAUCCCAGAGAUUAUGAACUGAGCUGAAACCAACAGUUGGAGGCUUAGCCGACUGAGCCACCCAGGCACUCCUGUUUCUGAUUUUUAAUAAAUUAUUUCAUGGUCAGAGAACAUGAUUUUUAAUUCUUUUAAACUUUUUAAGUGUUGUCUUAAAUGGUCUUUGACAGUGAACGUUCCAGAAAGAUUUGAAAAGAGUGUUUUCUAUAGUUGUUAAGUAUAUGAUAAAUAUCAAUUAGACCGAUUUGACUGAUGGUGUUCCAAUCUUCUAUAUUUCAAAGUUUUGGUUUAAUUGUUCUAUAGAUUACUGAGAGAUUACAGACGUCUUCAACUUUGUAGAUUUUUCUAUUUCUCUUUUCAGUUUUAUUAACUUUGCUUCAUGUGUUUUGAA